UACGUAGGGGGCAAGCGUUGUCCGGAUUUAUUGGGCGUAAAGGGCGCGUAGGCGGCUUCGAUAGUCGGGUGUGAAAUGCCUGGGCUCAACCCAGGAACUGCACUCGAAACUCCGAGGCUAGAGUGUGGGAGAGGAUAGUGGAAUUCCCAGUGUAGAGGUGAAAUUCGUAGAUAUUGGGAAGAACACCGGUGGCGAAGGCGGCUCUCUGGACCGUAACUGACGCUGAGGCGCGAAAGCGUGGGGAGCAAACAGG
rnacentral:rRNA from 1 species